CAUUUUGGGAGGCCAAGGCGAGAAGAUCACUGGAGCCCAGGAGCUCAAGACCAGGCAACAUAAGGAGACUCCGUCGCUACGAGAAAAUACAAAAUUUAGCCAGGGAGCAUGGUGCAUGCGUGUAGUCCCAGCUACUUGGGAGGCUUAGGUGGGAGGAUCCCUUGAGCCAAGGAGUUUCAGACUGCCGUGAUCAUACCACUGCGCUCUAGUCUGGGCAACAGAGAAAGACCCUGUCUUGAAAAAAAAAAAGUGUAUUUCACUCUCACAUAAAAACUGAGAGGUGGUCACUGCAGUGUUGUUCAGGGAACCAGGAUUUUAUUUUUUUGCUCUGCUGUGUGUGGCUUCUGAUUUCAAGAUCACUGCAUGGUGCAAGACAACUUUCCUACAUGGCAGGCAUCGUUCUAAUCCCUCUUGUAUGCAUUAUCUUGUAAUACUCAUAACAGCCCUGUGAGGGUCUUGCUGUGCCACUCAGGCUAGAGUACACUGGUGUGAUCUCAGCUCACUGCAGCCUUGACCUCUGGGUUCAAGUGAUCCUCCCAUCUUGGCCUCCCAAUGUGCUGGAAUUACAGGCAGGAACCACUGAUUUACAAUCUUCUAAUAAGAGUCUUUAUCUUAAAGAUAUUUGUUUCCUGUGUUUGAGAAUUAAAAUGCUGGCUUUUUGCUGAAUAAAAACAAGUUGGCAAUAAUAGUUAAAUUG
rnacentral:lncRNA from 1 species